rnacentral:lncRNA from 10 species
GUAUGCAAAGGUAUACCAUCUGUUUUCCAUGAUAAUCUCCGGUCUUCUAGCCUGCACUAAGACAGGGCCCUACCAAAAUUAUUUUUUGAUAAGGGGGUGGGGGCAAUUAAGAACUGAACCCUCGUCAUCGAAGUGCAAUAACCUGUUACUCAAGAAGUACAAAUGAGCACUGUUUACAGAGAAAUAGGAAAUGGAAACAAGGAUAUCAACCUUGAAGGAGCAAAGCACAGCAUGUAGGACCUGGGUCAUGUAUUAGAUGAAAAUGGCAGCGCAGAAGAUGGCACUGGGCAGUUGCCAUGGAGCUGUGAGACCUGCUCUGUGGCUCUGUGGCAGAUUUGUAAGGGUUAUCUGUGUGUGUGUGUUGGGGGGGGGGGUCUUAAAUGGCAAAAAAGGCCCCUUCACAAUGAGCACUACAAUCUACUCCCUCCAUCCUCACACAAGUCAGUCUCCUGGACCAACAGAGAAAAGACAAAAAUUUCAGCUGCUUGUGUGGGGAUGGACAAUCAGAAGACUGCUUUAAAAGACCUCUAGUCAAAAUGUUUAAUAUGAAUAUUUUAUAUCUAACUUCCAGUUGCAAAAUACAAAGAACAGAGGCAUAAGACCAACAAUACAAUGAAGCCCUCGGGCAAGUCUAAAAGGUAGAGUUGUGCAGGACAACUGUCUCAGUGUCUUCAAAAAAGUCACAUAUUGAAUUAAAGGAUCUCUUUGAUAUUAAAGGAGACACAGAGGACAUUGCAAUCAGGUGCAAUGUUUGGUUCCUAAUUAGAUCCUGAUUUGGACAAACUGACUGUACAGACACAGCCUGUAGCCUCGUCCCCCGCCACUUCAUGCUAGCAAAGACUGAACCAUCUCAGCCAGGCAUCAAGGUCAACAUCAACAGUGAUAAGUCGUAUUGACAGCAGGCACCCUUGAUAUUAUGUGAGCAGGAAGCACUACUUUUGUUGUCUUCCUCCCCAAAAUACAUACUUCUAGUAUGAUCAUGAGAACAAUAACAGACAAAUCGCAAUUGAGGAACUUCCUAGAGCAGCAUCCAGGCCACAACACAGGCUCGGGAAGCCCAGAAAGAACUCAGCAGUCUUAACAAGUUAACGAGAUGAGAUCACAAUUGAGGGAAGCUAAGAUGGCUCAAAUUUGCAGGAUGGAGUGUAUGGAGGGGAGAGAGCUGAACAGAGAGAGUAUUCCAGAGAUCUGCAGAGGGGUCUUUCAAGUCUUUGGCUGAGUGGUAAUCUGUGCAAGCAUGGGGAUGAAAUUCCAGGAGGCCAGAUAAAGCAAUAGAGUGGAGACGCCUCAUAAUACAUAGGGCAUUUGAUAAGAGUCUUCAGAAGAGGCAUGACUUAGUAGUGGGGCUAAAUUAAGCUUAGGGUAAAGACUGCUCUGGAGCCAUCAUAACAAAGCUUAAAAGCAAACCUCAAGGAGUUUGAGACCAGCCUGGCCAACAUGGCGAAACCCUGCCUCUACUAAAAGAACAAAAAUUAGCCGGGCGUGGUGUUGGGUGCCUGUAGUCCCAGCUACUCAGAAGGCUGAGGCAGGAGAAUAGCUUGAACCUGGUAGGUGGAGGUUGCAGUGAGCUGAGAUUGUGCUGCUGCACUAUAGCCUGGGCGACAAGAGCGAGACUCUGUCUCAAAAAAAAAAAAAAAAAAAAGCAAACCUCCAAAAGCUCAAAUUAAUCUGCAAGGAAUUUGUUAUUGCUGUACCACACAAAGUCCUUUAAAGGAAUAAAACAAAAUCCAGUUAUCAACAGCAUAACACAAUAAAAAAUGGGCAAGCAUGCAAAGAAACAGAAAAAUAUGACCCAUAGCCAGUAGAAAAAUUAAUCAAUAGAACCAGAUUCAGAAAUGCCAGAGACAAUGAAAUUAGCACUGAGUGACGAAUCAUCCAUACUCCAAACUUCAGCAUCAUGUAAUAUACCCACAUAACACACCUGCACAGGUACCCCCGAAUCUAAAAUAGAAGUUGAAAUUAUUUUUUAAAAAGCUGACCUCAAAAAAAAAAGGAGACAAGGACCUCAAAGAGCUAUUUUAAAUAUUAUAAAUAUGCUCAAAAUGCCCAAAGGGAGUUAUAGAAAAACAAAAACAUAAUGAGAAGAGAAAUGGAAGGUAAAAAAAAAAAAGACUCAGUGGAACUUCUAAAGAUGAAAAAUACACACGGGUCCAAGUGCAGUGGUGUUUACAACUAAUUCAUCACAACAAGUUACAGAUUUCUUUGUUCCUUUUCCAUUCCCACUGCUUCACUUGACUAGCCCUAAAAAAUAAACAAAAAUAAAACUAUAUACAUAUGCAUGCAAAAGACAAAUACAAUAGAUGAAACCAAAACCAUACUGAAUAAAAUACUGCACAAAGAUAAUAAUAUGAUUUUUUUGCGAAAACACAUCCAACUACAGUGCUACAUAUUAAACACAUUAAAAUGUUUCCCUAUCAUGCAGAGAGGUGAAUGGAAGUGGGCUAUGAGAUAAAAGGGGGAAAUUAAUUUUAAUAAGAAGGGCCUUUUACAAAGAGGGGCCUGAGCAGACCAAUUAUGGUAAGUGCCAUGAAAUGAGGAAUAUAGUUAACUCUAAACAUUCCAAGAAAGAAAGGAAAUAAAAGGGAAAAAAAGUGGGAGAGAGGGGAACUGAAGUUUCAGGGAUAGCUAGAAACAACUUUUUUAUUUAUUUUUAUUUUUUGAGACAGAGUCUUGCUCUGUCACCCAGGCUGGAGUGGCCUGAUUUCAGCUCACUGCAAGCUCCACUUCCCAGGUUCAUGCCAUUUUCCUGCCUCAGCCUCCUGAUUAGCUGGGACUACAGGAACCCACCACCACGCCCAGCUAAUUUUUUGUAUUUUUAGUACAGAUGGGGUUUCACCAUGUUAGUCAAGUUGGUCUCGAUCUCCUGACCUGGUGAUUCCCCUGCCUCGGCCUCCCAAAGUGCUGGGAUUACAGGCAUGAGCCACUGCACCUGGCCGAAACAACUUUUGAAUAAGACCCAGCCAAAGCCCUGGAGCCCAAGAGGCAGAGAUUAAAACAGUACCAGACUA